GGGCCUUGCACUCUCAGACCACCGAUUCCAGGAGGGCUGGGUCAGAAAUCAUUUGCUGACUUCACUACUCACUCCUCUAAGGAGUGAGAGGAAAGGAAAACCAGAGGUGCCAUCUGCAGGUGGAUGGAGGAGCUCCAGACAAUCGACAGUUCCUGAAAGUUGCAGUCCUGCUGGAUGCGGAAGAGGGGAAAUUUCAGGACAGUUCCUGAAUAUUCAGGCCUUCAAAGCCCCAUUCAAGGCCAGCACAGUGCCUCCAGAAUAAAG
rnacentral:lncRNA from 1 species